rnacentral:rRNA from 1 species
AUUGAACGCUGGCGGCAUGCCUUACAAUGCAAGUCGCGCAUAGGAGCUUGCUCCUGAUGGCGAGUGGCGAACGUAAUAUAUCGGAACGUGCCCUAGAGUGGGGAUAACUAGUCGAAAGACUAGCUAAUACCGCAUACGAUCUACGGAAAGUGGGGGAUCGCAAGACCUCAUGCUCCUGGAGCGGCCGAUAUCUGAUUAGCUAGUUGGUGGGGUAAAAGCUCACCAAGGCGACCAGUAGCUGGUCUGAGAGGACCCAGCCACACUGGGACUGAGACACGGCCCAGACUCCUACGGGAGGCAGCAGUGGGGAAUUUUAAUGGGGGCAACCCUGAUCCAGCAAUGGCGUGAGUGAAGAAGGCCUUCGGGUUGAAGCUCUUUUGUCAGGGAAGAAACGGUUCUGGAUAAUACCUAGGGCUAAUGACGGUACCUGAAGAAUAAGCACCGGCUAACUACGUGCCAGCAGCCGCGGUAAUAGUAGGCAAGGUUAAUCGGAAUUACUGGGCGUAAAAUAUAAUCAACCGCUUGUGUAAGUCAGUGUGAAAUCCCCGGGCUCAACCUGGGAAUUGCAUUUGAGACUGCACGGCUAGAGUGUGUCAGAGGGGGGUAGAAUUCCACGUGUAGCAGUGAAAUGCUAGAGUGGGGAAUACCGAUGCGAAGGCACCCCCUGGGAUACACUGACGUCAUGCACGAGCGUGGGGAGCAAACAGGAAGAUACCCUGGUAGUCACGCCCUAAACGAUGUCUACUAGUUUCGGGUCUUAAUUGACUUGGUACGCAGCUAACGCGUGAAGUAGACCGCCUGGGAGUACGGUCGCAAGAUUAAACUCAAGGAAUUGACGGGACCCGCACAAGCGGUGGAUGAUGUGGAUUAAUUCGAUGCAACGCAAAAACCUUACCUACCCGACAUGGAUGGUCCUGAAGAGAUUUGGGAGUGCUCGAAAGAGAACCAUCACCAGGUGCUGCAUGGCUGUCGUCAGUCGUGUCGUGAAUGUUGGGUUAAGUCGCAACGAGCGCAACCCUGUCAUUAGUUGCACGAAAGGGCCUAUGAGACUGCCGGUGACAAACCGGAGGAGGUGGGGAUGACGUCAAGUCCUCAUGCCCUUUGGGUAGGCUCACACGUCAUACAAUGUACAUACAGGGGCCGCCAACCCGCGAGGGGGAGCUAAUCCC